rnacentral:lncRNA from 1 species
ACUCAAUAAAGUUUUGUUUCUCCCUCAGGCUCCUUCGGGAGAUUCUUCUUCUCAACCUCAGACCCCUCUGUGGGAUUUCUUCAAUUUAUGUUCUCUAACGACCGGUAAUCAAGAACGAUUGUUACAUAUACUUCGAGGCCCCCAAAAUCUAUACUAGGGGAUAUCAACCAAAACUCCAGCUUUUCAUUUAGACCAGAGCUCUUCAAGAAAAGACCACUAUGCUUGUAUUGGAGACCAACCUCCUAAGGUAAAACACAUAGUUACUUAACCACUACGUGCAAUUGCUAUAUAGGAGAAAGUCUAUAUACCCUUUAUCUUUAUUAUUUAUCUCUUUCAUAUUGUAAUCGUGGGCAAUGGCCUUCAUUUUAUUAAUGAAAACGUUUAAUUAUUGCAAAAAAUAGGAAUGAGAGAAUGAUAUAUAUUAUUUACUAGAAUAUCUCAAUGAUUAAAACCAAAUUUGUCACUUUAAAAUGAUUCACUACUUCCUAUAGUGAGAAAAGAAGAUGAUGAUUACAAGAAUUGCUAUGAGAGAGAGAGAGAUUAUGUAAUUCCUACUCGGUUCAUAUUUGAAUGAAUUUCAUAUAAUCCAUAGAUAACCAUCUGAAAUAGUACCUCAAUGGAAGACCGUGCAGUUUCCAGAACUUGAAUGUAAACAUACUCCACUUUACCUACAAAAAAUUAUUUCAGUGAAGUUCGUGGUAGAGUGGUAGUAAUUAAUAAGCAACAAAAAAUUACUAUUUACUGCAAUAUUUCAAAUCCCCUAAUCUCGUAUCUCCAAAUCCCCUCAUCAAGUAUGGAAUUAGAGUUAUCAUCGAGCAUACAAUUCCCCUCAUCUCAUAUUUAGACUCGCCACAUGAGCUAGUUCCCCAAACUGUCAAGUUCAGAAUUAGAACGAUCGCCAAGUGGAUGAUUCACCUUCAAAUUACAUGAUUGAACAAAGUCUAGGGGUCUUCCUAAUGGAGAGUAGGCUGACAACUGAAUCUUGAGUGCUAAGAUGCUUUGCAUCACUUCCCAAUCCUUCUCAACCAUUUACUCGAUUGAUUGUAGGUAGUACCUCAAUCCCUCAUGGGUCAGAGAUAAUCAGACAUCAUUAUUCCAAUUAUUUAAUAUUUAGAGACGUCAAAAUAAAGAAGAUGUGUAGAAUUUAAAUAAGCAAGAAGUGUGGGUUAUGGGAAAAUUCUAACCAUCAAACUUCUUAUACAAGCAAUUUGGAGAUACUGAAUGUUUACGACAGAAUCCUUCAGCAGCCUGGUAAAGAAAAGUAAACAAUUAUAAUUUGAAUCAAUAAAUAUAUUCAUACAUAAUACGUUGAUGCUAACUAAGAAUCUAAGAUCAAAUCUUGAUGGUAAAUUUGACCUUUUUGAGAUAUUAUGUUAAAUAAAUUAAUCAUCAAAAUUGUGUGCUUAGAAGAUGAUAGGGUCAUAGCGAAUGCAUAUCUAUAAUGAGUGAGUAUUCUUCCAUAAGUGAUAAUUGAUGUAAGGACUAUAAAUCUAUAACAUGCAUAAAUGAUAGAGUAGAGUAGUGUCUAUCGGCCUAAAUAAAUGAUAAGAUUGUAAGAAUUCUAAUUCUCAUUUCCAAACAAACAAAGAAUACUUAUCCAUCUAGUGGAAAUGCUCAAUCGAUCUUUUUGAAAAAAAAUGAAUAUUGCUAUCCCCUCCCCUAAUAGCUCUGGUAUCAAACUGGGGGAUCUAACAAAGGCCUUUCAGAAAACUACUCAUCACUCACCUACUUGGGACCUUCUAUGGAAUGUUGUUGGAGUUCUGUCAUAGCACAUAUGGACUGAAAGAAAUAAGAUAUUGAAAUAACACAUAUUGUGACCCCCAGAAGUUAUGCUUAAAGAAGUUAUCAAAGACAUCAACCUCUCAUUCAUGCCAUAAUUCCAUAGGAAAAGUUGUUGUCACCCUUUGGAGACCAUUACACUUCAGAUGUGGAAAAUCAACCUCCUGAUGCAUUCUGUCUAGUCGAUUAUUACUAAUUAGCUUAGCCAAUUGGAAAAUGUCAAUGGUUCAACAAACCCAUCUCCAUUUUUAUCUUAUUUUGUCUCUCCAAUGUAAUUCGAACAUUUCCCCUCAUUAUUCUAAUGAAAGAAUUUAUCUGCCUAAAAAAAUGAAGGCAUGUAAGAACACUUGUGUUGAAUGAUAACCAUACGUUGCUAAUUAAAACCGGUUCGAACUAUAGAAGAAUGAAGAUAAUUAAUAAAGACUUUAACGAAGCUCAAUUCUUAAUAUGUAUGAUUUAACUAUAAAAAUAUACUUAAAAAGAUUAUCAAAGAAAAGAACAAUGCAUUUCAAGCCUAACUUGUCAAAAUAAUUAUGGAAAAAAAUAAAGAAUAAAAAAACAUCACAAUGUAAUUGCUUCAAGCCUAUCAAGAUUCAUGGGAUUAUAAUACACUUAUAGAAAACAAGAAUAUUGAUAAAAAAAGGAAAUAAAGACAUUAGCUUUAUUUUUUAAUGAAAUUUAAUUGCUUUCAAAAAAAAAAAUACUUGAAAAGAUUUCACCUUCCUGAAGGCAAUUCCGGUCGUGAUUUAAGAAGAAGACGGAAAAGAAACAGAGGUUCUCAUUCCAAUACCCUAGCAGUCCAAAUCACAACGCUGCAUUAGUUGGAAUGUGUUUGGACUUUGGACAUUGGUUGGCGAAAUACUUGCAAAGAUUUCACCUUCCCGAAGGCAAUUCCGGUCGUGAUUUAAGAAGAAGACGGAAAAGAAACAAAGGUUCUCAUUCCAGUACCCUACCAGUCCAAAUCACAACGCUGCAUUAGUUGGAAUGUGUUUGAACUUUGGACAUUGGCUGGCGAAAUACUGAUACCGAGACAAACCGGAAUCCCACAACUUCCCCCUCUUUUGACAAGAUAGUCACAAACCAACUGUCAAAUCAUUGUAGGAACCUAACAACCUACUGUUCAAUCCCCCACCAUCGUCUGUGCACCCACAGCAUGUGUACUACAACCUAGGGAAAGCAAGAUAAUGGUGUUUGUGAUUCACAUUUCACAGUACGAUCUGUGUCACCCCUAUCAUACUUCCCAAACCCCUUCAUAUAACCAUGACAUGCCUAGACCACUACACUAUUCGAACAUGUGGCCACUCCUUAGUAAUAUAGAAGAUUCGAACAUGUGGCCACUCCUUAGUAAUAUAGAAGAUUCGAAUAGUGAAUGGUAUAUCCUCUAUUGACUCUUCACCAAGACCUAUCACUCCACCAAGCAGGAUAGUGACAAAUCUUCGAAUCAAAGCUGGUAGGAGAAUCCGAUAGAAGACUCUGACUUAGAACCGACCAAUGACAUUCUGAGGCAACACCCUAGGAACAAUUAGUGAAUAGGGAAAACUGUUUAGAAUCCCUAUGAGUUCAACUCAUACCCAAAAUCUUUAUAAUCGAGCAAUGCUCAAAUUUCGUUAUUAUUAAUGGAAAUUUAAUUUUACAUAAAAAAAGAAUCAAAGCAGUAGAUCAGGUAUAAAACAUCCUAGAAAUACAGGGACCUUUGUUGGAUUUCCUAGGUUGUCAAAUGCUUUUGCCACUGGAGGUCCACGAAGCAUAACUUCAUUUUCCGUUUGCUUGGAACUAAGAUCGUCAAUAUGAAUCUGAAAGAAUAUCAAUAUAUAGCUUUAACAUUUCUCAUCACCAUGAAAAAAUUAAUAUGAUAUAAUACUAAAUAAAAGUUUUAAUUUUUAAAGCAAAUAAAAGUUUAACUUGUGGAGGAAUAGAAUUGCAUUGCAAAUUAAUGCAAAAUUAAAGUUUUUUCUGGAGAUGAUUUUUUUUACAAAAUUUGAAAUCUCACUAUAUGGCGACUUAUAUUACUCCAGCUACAUAUACACACAAAAAAAUUGGAGCAUUGGUAUCAAUAUUCGAUA